rnacentral:misc_RNA from 1 species
CUGAACCCGUCGGCUGCUGGCGGAAUGCUUGAGCUGCUCGCGCGGCGAGAGCGGGUCGCCGCGUGCCGGCCGGGGGACGGACCGGGAACGGCCCCCUCGGGGGCCUUCCCCGGGCGUCGAACAACCGACUCAGAACUGGUCUCCUCGGCUGAGCCCCGCACCCCCUCGCGGCCUAGCCGUGGCCGGUCAGCACCCUACCGCGCCCAGCUCCGGCUGGCGCUGUUGGCUGCCUGGCCGGCCGUGGUUCGGCCGUGA